rnacentral:rRNA from 1 species
CGCUUCUAGCUCUGAAUAUUAGAAGUCCAGCCUGCCCGGUGAUAUUUUUAAACGGCCGCGGUAACCUGACCGUGCUAAGGUAGCGCAAUCAAUUGCCCUUUAAUUGUGGGCUAGUAUGAAUGGCUAGACAAGGGCUCAGCUGUCUCAAAAGACAAAAUGGAAUUUGACUUUUAGGUGCAGAGGCCUAAAUUCAGGUGAAAGACAAGAAGACCCUAUCGAGCUUUAAUUUUAUUUUUUUAAUUUAAAGAGAUAAAUUUUUAUUGGGGCAAUACAGGAACAAUCCAAGCUUCCUUCUUAAAAUAGACCAACGCCAUUUAAAUGACACAAACUAAUAAUCACCGGUAUUAGCUACCGUAGGGAUAACAGACUAAUUUUCCUCGAGAGCCCACAUUGACAGGAAAGUUUGGCACCUCGAUGUUGGCUUAAAAAACAGUUACGAAGCAGCCCUCUAACACUGUAGGUUUGUUCAACCUUUAAAACUUUA